GACGGGGGGUCCUAGCGUUGUUCGGAAUUAUUGGGCGUAAAGCGUGUGCAGGUUGUUUGAAAAGUUGGAUGUGAAAUCCUUGGGCUUAACCCAAGACGUGCAUUCAAAACUGUCAGACUUGAGUAUGGAAGAGGAUCGUGGAAUUCCUAGUGUAGUGGUGAAAUACGUAGAUAUUGGGAAGAACACCGGUGGCGAAGGCGGCGACCUGGUCCGUGACUGACGCUGAGGCGCGAAAGCGUGGGGAGCAAACAGG
rnacentral:rRNA from 1 species